GGCAGCCUGUCACCUGCUCUGUCUUGCGCUCCCUCAUUGCGUCAUUUCCGGACCGGAUAAUUGUUUGGCCCUUCAGAGCGGCAACGGUGGGCUGUGUUUGCGGUUGCAUUUAGCGUCUUCUGUAUUGGUGAAUGCCGGUAGCCGUGCGGGUCUCGUCUCUCCCUCACUCUCCUUAAGCCUGUGUGAACUCUAUAAAGUUGCUGCAGGCCGGUGGUGGUGCUGGUGACUCGGGUGGUGGUGUCCCUUCCUUCUGUGUGCCGUGUCCUGGGAUUUUUGGGUGAUUUCACAUUGUGUGUGUGCUUGCCACGUGUGUUGAGUGUCUGAUUAUUUUCACCUCAAUAUUAUUUUGUAUUUGGUAGACUCCCCACUCCUCUCACUAGCUCCUGCCCACACCCAUAGGCCUCAGC